AUUGAACGCUGGCGGCAGGCCUAACACAUGCAAGUCGAGCGAGCGGCGGACGGGUGAGUAAUGUGUGGGAAACUGCCUGAUGGAGGGGGAUAACUACUGGGAAAGGUAGCUAAUACCGCAUACCAUCAGAUGUGCCCCGAUGGGAUUAGCUCGUGGGUGGGGGAACGGCUCACCUAGGCGCCGAUCCCUAGCUGGUCUGAGAGGAUGACCAGCAACACUGGAACUGAGACACGGUCAAGACUCCUACGGGAGGCAGCAGUGGGGAAUAGUGCAAAAUGGGGGCAAGCCUGCUGCAGCCAUGCCGCGGGUGUGAAGAAGGCCUUCGGGUUGUAAAGCACUGUCAGCGGGGAGGCGUUACCCGCAGAAGAAGCACCGGCUAACUCCGUGCCAGCAGCCGCGGUAAUUC
rnacentral:rRNA from 1 species